rnacentral:rRNA from 1 species
UACGUAGGGGGCAAGCGUUGUCCGGAAUUAUUGGGCGUAAAGAGCGCGUAGGCGGUCCGAUAAGUCGACUGUGAAAGUCCAGGGCUCAACCCUGGAAAGCCGGUCGAUACUGUCGGACUAGAGUCCGGAAGAGGCAAGUGGAAUUCCCGGUGUAGCGGUGAAAUGCGCAGAUAUCAGGAGGAACACCGGUGGCGAAGGCGGGUCUCUGGGCCGAUACUGACGCUGAGGAGCGAAAGCGUGGGGAGCGAACAGG